rnacentral:rRNA from 1 species
GUGAGGAAUUUUCCGCAAUGGGCGAAAGCCUGACGGAGCAAUGCCGCGUGAAGGAUGAAGGCCUAUGGGUUGUAAACUUCUUUUCUCAGAAAAGAAUUAUGACGGUAUCUGAGGAAUAAGCAUCGGCUAACUCUGUGCCAGCAGCCGCGGUAAGACAGAGGAUGCAAGCGUUAUCCGGAAUGAUUGGGCGUAAAGCGUCUGUAGGUUGUUUAAAAAGUAUUCUGUCAAAGAUUAGGGCUUAACCCUAGAUAGGCAGAAUAAACUUUUAAGCUAGAGGUAGGUAGAGGCAGAGGGAAUUACAGGUGGAGCGGUGAAAUGCGUAGAUAUCGGGAGGAACACCAAAAGCGAAGGCACUCUGCUGGGCCAAUACUAACACUGAGAGACGAAAGCGAGGAGAGCAAAUGUGAUUAGAUACCCCUGUAGUCC